GUUGGGGUUGGGGUCACCGUGGUGGUGGUGGUGAUGGGUGUCAUGGUUGGGGUCUGUGUGCCGGUGGGUGUUGGGGUUGGGGUCACCGUAGUGGUGGUGGAGAUGGGUGUCGGGGUUGGGGUCUGUGUGCCGGUGGGUGUUGGGGUUGGGGUCACCGUAGUGGUGGUGCUGAUGGGUGUCGAUGUUGGGGUCACCGUAGUGGUGGUGGUGAUGGGUGUCAGGGUUGGGGUCUGUGUGCCGGUGGGUGUUGGGGUUGGGGUCACCGUAGUGGUGGUGGUGAUGGGUGUUGGGGUUUGGGUCUGUGUUCCAGUGGGUGUUGGGGUUG
rnacentral:lncRNA from 1 species